GAAAUGCGAUAAGUAGUGUGAAUUGCGGAAUUCAGUGAAUCAUCGAAUCUUUGAACGCACAUUGCGCCCCUUGGUAUUCCAUGGGGCAUGCCUGUUCGAGCGUCAUUUGUACCUUCAAGCUUUGCUUGGUGUUGGGUGUUUGUCUCGCCUCUGCGCGCAGACUCGCCUCAAAACAAUUGGCAGCCGGCGUAUUGAUUUCGGAGCGCAGUACAUCUCGCGCUUUGCACUCAUAACGACGACGUCCAAAAAGUACAUUUUUUACACUCUUGACCUCGGAUCAGGUAGGGAUACCCGCUGAACUUAAGC
rnacentral:misc_RNA from 1 species